rfam:Clostridium sulfidigenes strain 113A c35, whole genome shotgun sequence.
AAUAUUCUGCUGUGUGCGUGGAAAUGGUUUAUGUUGAGCCAACAUUUAAACGUUGUGGCUGAUGUUCUCAUCAUGGAGUGUUGACUGACUAUUUUAUAGUUGGUACCAGAAGUAGUGAGGCGAUUCCACCCCUGGUAGACAGGGUUCAAAUACAUCAUUAAUACGGCACGGUGGGUAUCA